UGGCUAUCGUUUAGCAUUUGACCAAUCGGGAAAAGAUGUCAUUUUCGCCACUCUACAUGAACUCCAUGGAUAUAUUUUAGAGCUGCUUCCCCAUCUGUCUGCGUCAGCGUGACAGCAUGGCUCACAAACUUUGAGCUGACAAAAAGACUAGCAAUGAGACUAGCUUUGUCUGCAGCACGUAGCGGCUAACUUUAGCUGCAGAUGCUAUAGGGUCAAUGCACGCAGCCUGCAAGAUGAGCAUCCCAUGGAGAUGAAGUGUUUCUCGGCUUGUCAAAGAUGAGGGGUCGCCUGAGACAGCAUUUUCUGCCUCUGUCAGCAGGAGGCGAACCAUGGGAACCGAGGAAGAGUGGAACAAACACAGUGCUCAAAAGCUCCUGGAUGAAAAGGUCUUGCACAAGCAUAAUGGGCGGCUUGGUAUAGUAAGAAGCCUGUUUAAAACUCAAAACACACUUCAAAUACAGUCCAUCACCCGCUCUGACUGUGCAGGCUCCUGUCCUGAUUUGAUGAUGAACAGGUACGACCUGAUCGAGGUCCGGCCCGUCCCGGUGGCCCUCACACCCCAGCUGCCGCCCGGCUGCACCGUCCCCUCUGUGUGUCUGUCUCCUCUGACAGCAGUGGACGAUUCAAGGCGCUGGAGACGCAAGAAUGGAAGAACAACCUCAAAGCCCAGGUAAAUGAGCGAGAGGAGUCCCAAGACCCAAAAAGGCAGGCUCAGGAAAUAAAUCCAACAAAUUUUGUGUCCCUUUUUGGCUUUAUCAAUUAUUAAAUCAGUAUUAAGUAACUUGUUUACCUUAAUAAAUCCUUUUCGUAGUCCCUCUGGG
rnacentral:lncRNA from 1 species